rnacentral:tRNA from 1 species
CCCUUGGUAGCUCAGUUGGAAGAGCGUGAGACUGUAAUAGGAUAUCUUGCGGCAUCUCAAGGUCACUGGUUCGAGACCUGUCCGAGGGA